CCAUGAGCUACUUUAUCGUACGCAUGAUUGCUCCCUUAUUUCGCAGUAAAAAUACCUAUGAAAUAAUAAAAAGUAUUUUUCUUAAACAUACGAUUGCAAAUCAAAAAUCAUACUCGAGUGUUUUCAGUUAAAAUUAGUCUGAAACAACCAGUACACUGUUAAAGCUUAACGAAGUAAACUUCAGUUUAGGAAAUAAAUAAAAUUAACUGAGUAAAUUUUAUGAAAAAAGUGAAUUAUUCCUAUUGGAAGUGAAAAGGUAUUGUUCCAUGAGAAAAUGAUGAAUACGAUGCAGAAAUCCUUUUUCUUCAUUUUAUAUUUUAUCGCUGCGGAUGUCAUGGCAUGGAAUUCAACCGAUUUCUGUGUCAAUUUCUAUUUCAAUGCUCGAUUGCAUAUUGAUGAUUAUGACGGAAUUCCAAAAAAGAUAUACGAUUUACCUGUGAAUGAUACAAAGGUUAUGGAUGGAACUUGUAGCAAUGACAUAAGCACAAUUUUAAUCGAUUGGACGAAUGAAGACUAUGUCGGCCACAUGAAUCUAUCUUUUCCGUUUGACCGCCAAUCGCAUUUGUAUUCAUUGACUAGAAUUGCAUUUGAUUUUCCCGCAAAAAUUUUGGGCAUUAAUCAAGACAAAAAUCUGACUAUGUUUUAUCAUCAAGAGUCUUUUGACGUUUUGAAGACCGACAUGGACAAAGAAUAUCAACCGGAAAAUACAACAGUAUCAUUACGGUUAACAAAUGAAUAUGGAAAUGAAUCAGUGGGAACACUUGAGCUAUCAAACAUAUACUUCAAAGCAUUUAGCUUAUGUAAAUUUCAGAAAUAUUGUGACAAAGAUCUAACAAGCUCAUACAUUAUGUUUUUUGUUACUGGAAGUGCAGCAGCUUUAGCUGUCGUUGCAACAUUGAUUUAUUAUCAUAGAGCUCUGAUAUCCGCCUUUUGAUAACAGUUUUGUACACUUUCUGAAUAUCUCCAAUGGAAAUAUGUGCCUGAUUGAACAAUAAAACCAACCAAAUACGGAUUUUUCAUUAAAUGCACAGCAAUUACAUGUCCACAAUUGAUAUUUCCCUUUACUAUUGCAAGAGCACGCUUGGAUUUUGCGACAGUAGCAAUGUCAGGAUAUGAAUCUUCAAGUCUUUGAUGUAAUACCAUCAAAAUUGGUUAAAGCUUUGCAAAAUGACUCAUGGUCACAUGUUGAAUUUAUUUGAAUUGUUCCGAGUAUGCUCUUUCUGUUUCUCUUGGAAUUUCGAAAGGGUUUUUUUUCCUUUUUCAGAGAAAUCAUUGAAUUAUGUUUCUGAUAAACUGCUUAGUAAUAAACACCAAAAUAAACACAGUUAGUCAUUUGUUUUUUUUACGAUUGCAAGUAGAAAUUACACUUGGCUUUCAGUGUUAUUAUGAUUUAAUCAAGCAUCAAAAUUGGCAGUUGUGAACAUUUCACUGUAUAAAUGUACACACAUUUCGGAUAGUCGAAUGUUUAAAAAUGGAAAAAAAUUCUACGCAGUGUCUGAAAUUUGACGUAGAUAAAGUAUUAUGAGUCUUUGGUUUACUAUAUAAAUCUGGUGAUAUGGUCCAUAGUUUACAUACAUUAUAUAUUGUACAUGCUUGAAUUGAGUAGAGGACAUAAUGCCUCGAAUGAACAGCAUGCUUUUGUGUUUCUAUUGCAUUAGAGUAUUGUGUCCGUCCGGGGCGUUAUGACCACCACUCCUUGGAUUAUAAGCCCCACUCUUGAUAUUCCCUUCAAGUUAUAAUGCACACUACACAUUUUCAAAAUAAAAUAAUUUUGUACAAUCAACUUUCACAUUUUGAUUCGAAAACAUUCUAAAAGGAAGGAAGGCAAAAAAAAAUCCGGACACAUUCUAAUUUUAAUUUAAUAUAUUCGAAAAUCAUGAAUAGUUCAUGGAAUUUAAUGUUGAUUCUUUUGAGUGGUUUUGGUAAUUAUUAUUUAUUGUUUCGAGAUUUUAGUUAUUAAAAAUAUCGCGCAAGUAACUAGUUUCAGCCAAUGAUUCAAAAUAAUUUUUUCCAUUCGAAUUUCCAUCCUCAAAGUGAAUACAUCGAUAUUACUGGAAAGAAAAUUUCUUACAGCUAAUGCACAAGAUGUACCAGAAGUUGAAAUAUGGACAUAUGGACAUGAUAGCUCCACUAAACCGUGUAUCAUGGUUUCAUUCAUCGUUAGACUCAAUAUUAACUAUGGUAAUUCGAAACAUACUCUCAAAAAUGGAAUACGCGAAUAAUAAUGGGUCCUAUACUGCAAGAAUAGUACAACUAUGGUGAUUCAUUUCCUUUGCUUUUCAAUGCAAACUCCAGCUUGAUUUUCAUUUAAUGCAUACACAAUUAAAUGGUGUUUCCAUCAAUUAUUCCAGGUAUUAUUGAAGGCACAUACGAUUUGCCUGCCAAACAAUCACGUGUGGUAUCUGGAAAUUGUGGUGUAAAAACUCAGAAUAUUUUAAUUGAAUGGACGGAUAAAAAUCAUAGAAACGCAAUGAAAUUGAAGUUUAACUUGAAACUGGCUAAAGAAUCCUCUUAUUCAUUGGAUGAGAUUGCGUUUGAAAUCUCCACUUCACUUUUCGCCCACAAUGAUAAUACUACAUUGAAACUACUGCAUUUGGCCAACGAUUUUACAACUUGGUUGCACUGGUCCUAUCUCUGUCCGAACGAUCGAGAAUUGCCAUUGUACCAUAUGGAAAAUAUGGAAGAACCCGUCGCAAUAAUGGAAGUGUCGCAUAUCCAUUUGGAGGCCUUCCACGUUCAAAAUAAAAUGCAAUUUUCACGACCCAUCAAAUGUGAUACCGGGCUAUCGACAGGACAAAUCAUAGCGAUUAGCAUAAGUUCAGUACUGAUCGCUGUCAUCUUAAUUGGCACAUUAAUUUGGUUUUACUGUUGGCGCAAUCGAUAUCAAUCUGGCUAUAUUCGAAUAUAAAAACGCAAUAUUUCUCCACUUGACUUCCUUCACGUUGUCGUACUUUUGAGCGAACUGUGAAAACCACUUGAACAUAUAGCACGUAAAUAGAUUUGAAUCUCCGGUCGUUUUUCAAAAUUCUUUUUAUAUUCACUCGAAGAAUGCUCAUGUAUCGUUUAAUUGUGUUAUUUUAAUUGGCACUUGAACAAUUGUAUAUAAUAAAACAAUCUGUGUGCUAGAGUAAAUGUGGUGUUUUUUUCAUUAUUCUAAACAAUGAUCGAGUUGUUUAAUGUUUCGCGCAAUGCCGACAGAUUUGUCAAUGGGCCAAUAUACUGAUUAUAGAAAUAAUAUGAUUUAUAUACAGAUUAUUGCCGCUAAUCAGUGCUCGCAAAUAUGUGCGUCAUAUUCGUGUAUGAAACGUAUCAAUACUGACAAAUGAAUUGACAUGGUGUUCAAAUUAACACUCAAUUGUGAAACGCCAUUUUCGAUCGUGAGUAAGAUUUUGUACAUCAUUUUUGUUCAGCUCAGUUUCAUUCCGAACAUUGAUCAAAGACUGUGAAAUUUUCGAAUAAGUUUUUAAUAUUUAAAACCAAAAAUGACACAUCGACAUAAAUUGUGAUAUGAUUUUUCACGGAAAUGUGUGUGCAUUGCUUACGUUAUCAGUCAACUUAUCGUUUCAUGAACUCUAUAAAGUGUUAAUCACCGCCGUUACAUUUCUUUUGUUGUUGUUCCAAUUCAGUCAUGCAUUUAUCAAAAACCAAACGAGUUUGUUGCUCAACACACAACAGCUGAUACUUCUAAGCGAACCGGAUAGUUUAGUUCGUUUUGACAUCAAGUCAGUCGGUCGCAGCUAUUCUUAGAAAAUGGAUUUUAACACUCGUAAAACCAAGCGUUCAACUUUCUUUUUAUUAUUCAUCAAGUGAAAUCAAUCGAA